UUCCUGUGCAGCCCCUCCAUUUCACCAACUUCUUCCCCUGCAGCCCCUCCAUUUGUCUACAUUAUAAUUUUUAGCUAAAGACUUUGAUGUGAGGGUUGAUAAGUUGCUUGGUGUGAUGGCACAAACAAGGAAAAUAUUGGAUUUACAAAUAAGGCGUCCUGGGCCAUUUAUUUCUGGAUACUUCAAUAAAGCAAUUUUGCAGAAAAGAAAAUCAAAUCCUUUUGAUAUGUGAAAAAAGUAUAACACCAUGAAGAUUUUAAAUUCUUCAUGUGAGGACCUGCUUUGUAUUGCUUUGAAAUGAUAAAUAGUUAAAGGGUUACUCCAAUCACCAUGAACACUAUACCUGCUGUAGUGGUUAUGAUGCCAGUAGUAUCCUGGUAUUGUGGUACCCUGGUAAUGAGGCUUACUGGUAAUUCCCAGGUAAUGGAGUAAACCUUUUUGUAACAGUUUAUCUUUUUCUUGGAUCUCAC